UGGGGAAUUUUGGACAAUGGGCGCAAGCCUGAUCCAGCAAUGCCGCGUGCAGGAUGAAGGCCUUCGGGUUGUAAACUGCUUUUGUACGGAACGAAAAGCCUCUCUCUAAUACAGGGGGUGAUGACGGUACCGUAAGAAUAAGCACCGGCUAACUACGUGCCAGCAACCGCGGUAAUACGUAGGGUGCAAGCGUUAAUCGGAAUUACUGGGCGUAAAGCGUGCGCAGGCGGUUUUGUAAGACAGUGGUGAGAUCCCCGGGCUCAACCUGGGAACUGCCAUUGUGACUGCAAGGCUGGAGUGCGGCAGAGGGGGAUGGAAUUCCGCGUGUAGCAGUGAAAUGCGUAGAUAUGCGGAGGAACACCGAUGGCGAAGGCAAUCCCCUGGGCCUGCACUGACGCUCAUGCACGGAAGCGUGGGGAGCAAACAGGAUUAGAUACCCUGGUAGUCCACGCCCUAAACGAUGUCAACUGGUUGUUGGGGAUUUAUUUCUUCAGUAACGAAGCUAACGCGUGAAGUUGACCGCCUGGGGGAGUACGGCC
rnacentral:rRNA from 1 species